rfam:Brachypodium distachyon strain Bd21 chromosome 3, whole genome shotgun sequence.
GUGUUACUUCCUACGUCCAACAAACGAUGUCUCAAUUUUGACUAAAUUUGAAUGCAUCUAUACACUAUGUCAUGUCUAAAUGCAUCUAAAUUUUAACAAACUUGAGACAUCUUUUGUUGAACGGAGAGAGUACAUC